CCUACGGGGGGCAGCAGUGGGGAAUAUUGGACAAUGGGGGGAACCCGGAUCCAGCCAUGCCGCGUGUGUGAAGAAGGCCCUCGGGUUGUAAAGCACUUUCAGUGAGGAAGAACGCCUGGUGGUUAAUACCCAUCAGGAAAGACAUCACUCACAGAAGAAGCACCGGCUAACUCCGUGCCAGCAGCCGCGGUAAUACGGAGGGUGCGAGCGUUAAUCGGAAUUACUGGGCGUAAAGCGCGCGUAGGUGGCUUGAUAAGCCGGUUGUGAAAGCCCCGGGCUCAACCUGGGAACGGCAUCCGGAACUGUCAAGCUAGAGUGCAGGAGAGGAAGGUAGAAUUCCCGGUGUAGCGGUGAAAUGCGUAGAGAUCGGGAGGAAUACCAGUGGCGAAGGCGGCCUUCUGGACUGACACUGACACUGAGGUGCGAAAGCGUGGGUAGCAAACAGGAUUAGAUACCCGAGUAGUC
rnacentral:rRNA from 1 species